rnacentral:lncRNA from 1 species
UUGCAUGUCAGAAUUGAUUCUAGUGCUACAGUGACUUCCCCAGCCCCCUUCCCACUCUUUCACCCCUGCUCAUCACAUUCCCUCUGGGUCCUGGAGUGCACGUCGACAGAGGGGCAGCAAUACGCUCCUCGUAUUUUUAUAUAUAUAUAUAUAUUUUUUUUACAUGCAGGACCUAUUCAGAGCCAAAGUGAGCACAGGAAGGGGUAAAAAAGGCCCCUAACUCUUGUCAACAGGUUUCUGGAGUGAUACUAACAGAUUAUGGAGCACGGGAUUGACGGUGGUCCGAACAUCAACGGCAGUUCAAGUCCCACCGCCAACUUGAACUCUUCGAGCCUGAUCAACAUAAUUCCAUCAUGGGCUUCUCUAGAGAUUUCUGUCUCAUGAGGAGCUGAGAGAAAGCAAAUACACACUGCUCACUUGGUUGCAACUGGGAGGAGAGCGAGCGACAGCAGGACACCCCAAACGGCGGCCUCGUGGGGAGCCGGAAGUUGGGAAAAUGAAAGUAGGGAGGGCAGAGAUCACAUUUUAAGAACGUGGUAAAACAGAGCCUCGGAGUCAGCUGCUGAGGAGAGAUCUAAAGGAGGCACUGCCAUCAAGAGAGAAGUGGCUUUCCUCAAGCAAAACCUCUGCGAAGAAGUGAGAGACAGAGAGGCAAGAGAGAAAACUGCGUCGCGCCGCAAACAUUCAGUACAACAACACGACAAAGAACAACAUCUUGGGGUUCCCACCACGGCCAGGAUUGUGGGUCUCACAUUGGCCAUUUCGGCCAUCCCCGCCCUCCCAGAAGAAAUCUGCCGAUACGAAGGACAAACAUAUGCACGGCUGUAAUCCCUCUCUAUCCAUGUCCACUUCUUCUCAAGUGAGCUCCAGCGAUUUUCCGGGCGUCGCUGGUGACCACGCUGGGAACCUGGGAUUUCCCGGCGGAACGGAGGUUCGAAACGUGCGACCGCAAAUACCGGAAAAUGCCCUCUCCUCCGGAGCGCUUUUGUCAGAGGUGAUUUGGGCUUUUGUGAGCUUCCGUGCUGAUGGAGCGAGAAGGCUUUCAGGCAUUAGAGAGCGGGGAGGAGAACAGGAGGAGGGAGUCAUUCACCGGCAGGAGCGUUUCUGAAGCUAAGCGCGCCACCUUCCUCCCCGGUGGCAUUCAAUCGCUGUAAUUUCAGUUUUCCGGCAGGAACUUGGCCAAUUUUGGAACCCCGAGCCGGCGCGGUGUCUGUCCGCUGGAAGCUGUGAUGUUAAAUUCCCGCGUUCCUGCACCAGAUCUCCACAGGGGAGGCGAGAGUGGGAAAUUGACGCAAUUAUCUGGGCAAUUCAGGUUUUAAAUAAACCACUUCUGCAUCA